rnacentral:rRNA from 1 species
GAAUUGACGGGGGCCCGCACAAGCAGCGGAGCGUGUGGUUUAAUUCGAUGCUACACGAAGAACCUUACCUGGGUUUGACAUGUACGUAGUAGUGAAGCGAAAGCCGAACGACCCUUCGGGGAGCGUACACAGGUGCUGCAUGGCUGUCGUCAGCUCGUGUCGUGAGAUGUUGGGUUAAGUCCCGCAACGAGCGCAACCCUCGCUGUUAGUUACAUGUGUCUAACGGGACUGCCGGUAUCAAACCGGAGGAAGGUGGGGAUGACGUCAAGUCAGCAUGGCCUUUAUGUCCAGGGCUACACACACGCUACAAUGGUCGGUACAAAGGGCUGCGAUACCGCGAGGUGGAGCGAAUCCCAGAAAGCCGGUCUCAGUUCGGAUUGGGGUCUGCAACUCGACCCCAUGAAGUCGGAGUCGCUAGUAAUCGCAGAUCAGCAACGCUGCGGUGAAUACGUUCCCGGGCCUU